rnacentral:rRNA from 1 species
UAACGCGUGAGCAAUCUGCCUUUAAGAGGGGGGUAACAGUCGGAAACGGCUGCUAAUACCGCAUAAAGCAUUGAAACCGCAUGAUUUUGAUGCCAAAGGAGCAAUCCGCUUUUAGAUGAGCUCGCGUCUGAUUAGCUAGUUGGCGGGGUAACGGCCCACCAAGGCGACGAUCAGUAGCCGGACUGAGAGGUUGAACGGCCACAUUGGGACUGAGACACGGCCCAG